GCUUUAUAGACCAUUUGACUAUCCCCUUCUCCGGCUAAUUGCGUGUCGGAUCAAAGUGCAUCUGUUUUUUGUUUUUUGACACGGUCCAUUUAUUGGCUUUUGGUAUCGCGACUCAAGUCGAUAAUAAUAGAUGACACCGGAAAUAACUAAAUGAGAUAGGUAAAACACAUAUAUAUGGUCGGGUGGCACAUGUAAUUUUCAAGAACAUAACACACAUGAGUCCCUACAAGCAUAUACAUGAGAUCAUUCAAUUGCGAUGUCCUCAAAGCAAAAGCGGUGAAUGUUUCUCCAUCACAAGGAUUGGUGGCAUCAAAUCCAAGGAUCGCAUCCGCGAGGAAAACUACGAAUUUAUCUGUGCUUUUUGCCAAAUUAUUCUAGCGACCAGCCUCUUCCCAUAUCUGCCUCGGCGAGAUGCCAGCCCAGGCCCAUCUCAUCCCGCCCCUCAUCAUAUACAUAUACGGACACGCGGCUGUGCCGUGCCGUGCAGUGGCCUGAUCACUUCAGCCUGUAGCUAGCAACCACCAAAGCUCUCUCGGCGCAGCCACAGCGCAAUAAUUUCGCAUGGUGGGGAUGAGCGGCGCCUAUGGCGGCCACAGCAAUGGUGGCGAGAGCCGGGCGCCCAACGAGGCAGUGGUAGUCAGGGCGCCCAAGGAGGCCGUGGUAGUGGGGGCGCCGCCGUCGGAGAUGGAGAUGGCGGGGGCGAUGGGGGUGGUGCACAAGGUGGCGGCGCAGCCGGCGCAGAGCACGGCGAGCAAGAUGAAGGGCAAGGUGAAGGAGACCUUCUUCCCCGACGACCCGUUCCGGAGCUUCAAGGGGCAGCCGCUGCGGGCGCAGUGGGUGCUGGCGGCCAGGUACCUGUUCCCGGUGCUGGAGUGGUUGCCCGGCUACUCGCUGUCCCUCUUCAAGUCCGACCUCGUCGCCGGCCUCACCAUUGCCAGCCUCGCCAUCCCCCAGGGCAUCAGCUACGCCAAGCUUGCGAACCUGCCGCCGAUCAUAGGCCUGUAUUCGAGCUUCGUGCCGCCGCUGGUGUACGCGGUGCUGGGGAGCUCGCGGGACCUGGCGGUGGGGCCGGUGUCGAUCGCGUCGCUGAUCAUGGGGUCGAUGCUGCGGCAGGCGGUGAGCCCGUCGGCGGAGCCGAUGCUGUUCCUGCAGCUGGCCUUCACGUCCACCUUCUUCGCCGGCCUCGUGCAGGCCUCGCUCGGCAUCCUCAGGCUGGGGUUCAUCAUCGAUUUUCUGUCCAAGGCGACGCUGGUGGGGUUCAUGGCGGGCGCGGCCAUCAUCGUGUCGCUGCAGCAGCUCAAGGCGCUGCUGGGCAUCGUGCACUUCACCACCCAGAUGGGCAUCGUCCCCGUCAUGGCCUCCGUCUUCCAGCACACAAACGAGUGGUCGUGGCAGACGAUGCUGAUGGGCGCCUGCUUCCUGGUGCUCCUGCUCGCGGCCAGGCAUGUGAGCAUCAGAUGGCCAAAGUUCUUCUGGAUCUCAGCGUGUGCUCCCUUGGCAUCCGUCAUCGUAUCCACCCUUCUCGUCUUCCUGUUCAAAGCACAGAACCAUGGCAUCAGCAUUAUUGGUUCGCUCAAAUGUGGCCUGAAUCGCCCCUCAUGGGACAAACUGCUCUUCGACCCGACAUAUCUUGGACUCACCAUGAAGACUGGACUCGUCACCGGAAUCAUCUCCCUUACGGAAGGAGUAGCAGUCGGUAGGACGUUUGCUUCACUCAAGGACUACCAGGUGGACGGAAACAAAGAGAUGAUGGCCAUCGGGUUGAUGAACAUUGUGGGCUCAUGCACAUCGUGCUAUGUGACAACAGGAGCAUUCUCUCGCUCUGCUGUGAACCACAAUGCCGGCUGCAAGACCGCCAUGUCCAAUGUGGUCAUGGCGCUGACGGUCAUGGUCACGCUGCUGUUCCUCAUGCCAUUGUUCGUAUACACGCCGAAUGUUGUCCUUGGAGCAAUCAUCAUCGCUGCUGUCAUUGGCCUGAUCGAUCUCCCUGCUGCAUACAACAUCUGGAAGAUGGACAAGAUGGAUUUCCUCGUGUGUCUGUGCGCAUUUGCUGGUGUCAUCUUCAUCUCGGUCCAAGAAGGCCUUGCGAUUGCGGUUGGUAUAUCGAUAUUUAGGGUGUUGAUGCAAAUCACAAGGCCAAGGAUGAUGAUUCAGGGCAACAUUAAGGGAACAGAUAUUUACCGAAACCUCCAUCAGUACAAGGAAGCUCAAAGAGUUCCUGGGUUCUUGAUAUUGACAAUUGAGGCCCCCAUAAACUUUGCAAACACCAACUAUCUGAAUGAAAGGACUAAAAGAUGGAUAGAGGAUGAAAGUUCUUCAGGGAAUAAACAAACUGAACUCCGUGUCAUAAUCUUGGAUCUAUCAGCUGUCCCUGCAAUUGACACAAGUGGCAUAGCAUUCCUCAUUGACCUAAAGAAGUCAAUAGAGAAACAUGGCCUAGAGCUUGUACUUGUGAAUCCAACUGGAGAGGUCAUGGAGAAAAUACAACGAGCGAAUGACGCGCACAAUCAUUUCAGGCCGGACUGCCUGUAUUUGACCACCGGGGAAGCAAUCGCUUCACUUUCUGGAUUUGCCAAGAUGGCAACACCUUAGAGUGGCCUUUCUUCACCUUUUAAACUUAAGCAUGCUUCUGCGAGUCUUGCAACCACCUCAGCAUCUUCGGCCCCUCCCUCCUCAACAAUUUGUGUAUCCAGAAUAUCUGAGAAUCGAUUGUCUCUUAUAAGUGACAAAAAAUGUGAUGCAAGACUUGUGCUUUCUGACGAAUGAGAAGAAAAAACUGGUGCCAUCCUCGUCAGUAGCUCUGCUAGGAUAACACCAAAGCUGUAAACAUCACUCUUCUCCGUGAGUCGACUGGUAUAGUAGUAUUCAGGAUCAAGGUAACCAUACGUUCCUUGGACGGCUGUAAGUAUUCCUGUCUCAUUUAUUGCAAUUGACCUUGAAGCUCCAAAAUCUGAUACUUUUGCUGUUAAAGUAUCAGUAAGUAAUAUAUUUGCG
rnacentral:rRNA from 1 species